rnacentral:lncRNA from 1 species
GGUCCUCUGCAGCCGUUCUGUCAAUGAAGCUCCUCUCUGCCUUGCUCACCCUCCACUUGUCCGUGUACCUCAUUCUUGUCGUGGAACAAGACCCUGGGACCCAGUGAAUGGUGGGACUGAAAGAGCGGUAACACAAACAGGGCUGAAACAUGCCCACCGCUCGCCACUUUGUGGGCGACGAGGAGAAACGAACUGCUGUGGCCCUUCAGGAAUCCCAGACCUAGAGACUCCUGAGCCAGGGCUGUGACACCCUCUUUGGGGCUCCGCAGUUUCUGGUGUCUCCAAGCUUCCGGGUGCCAUCGUAUUUCCCAGUGCCUGCAGUGGAAGCCAUUUGUGGUAACGCCUGGUCCAGCCAGUCUCACACGGAACCCACGCCUGUGCUGGCGCCUGGAGCUGCCUGCCCAGUGGCAGCAAGCACGCAUGGCUGUGUGCAGUGGCCAGACCCCAUGCUUAUUAACACACCCCUUGCUACUCCUCACCAGGCUCGCCCUUGGCAGGUGUGGGAUCCAGGUCAGUAUUAUGAGCCAAAUACAGCCUGCUGGGGCGAGUGAGCAGAAGAGGCCAGCGGGCCCGUGUAAAACUCAGGCAAAGGCACCACCAGCCGCAGAGGUUUCCAACUGAAAAAGUGACACGGUUUGAUCUUCGCAGUGGCCUGUGGCUAAGACUGAUAUUAAAGGAAGAAUUAAAAUCCUGAAUCAAUCAUGAACUUUAAAGUUAAGAUGAAUUCAAGGAUAUCAAACUUGACUGCAUAAGAGAGUAUCAUGUUUGGAGAGAAGAAAUAAUUUUAUUGCGAGACACAAAGUGGUGUCUGUCACUUAAAUCCUUCACCAAUCUACCUCCUGUACUCGUGGAAAAAAA